rnacentral:rRNA from 1 species
CCUACGGGAGGCAGCAGCUAAGAAUAUUGAGCAAUGGAGGCAACUCUGACCCAGCCAUGCCGCGUGAAUGAAGAAGGCCUUCGGGUUGUAAAGUUCUUUUAGUCGUGAAGAUGAUGACAGUAGCGACAGAAAAAGCACCGGCUAACUUCGUGCCAGCAGCCGCGGUAAU